UCCACUUUAAUAUGAUGGAUCUAAGUAGGCAUAAAGUAUAUUAAAUAUGGAAUCUUAAUUGAUGAUUAACAUCCAGUUUAAAGUUUUAAAUAAUAUAUGAAAAUAUAAUUUAGAUAGUUUUUUAUUUUAGGUUAAUUAGGUGCCAGCAACCGCGGUCAUACCUAAUAAACCAGCCUACACCCAUAGUAAUAUAUUGUUCCCGUUUCGAAAUAUUAUAAUAAAUAGUGAAAUACUAUUAUUUUACUAUGUCUUCAAAACUAUUCUAGUAGUAAACCCAUAUCUAAAACUAGGAUUAGAGACCCUGCUAUUGUGGAUUUAAAAUUUAUUUACUAAGGAGUAAUUCCUCAAUUUAAAACUUAAAUGUUAUGGCGGCUAAACAAAAUAAUUAGGGGAACUUACCAUAUAAUUGAUAGCCACCAAGCAUAAACUCACUUACUAUAAAAAUUUGUAUACCGUUGUCUUCAUGAAUCCCUCAAAGGGGCUCAUGACCAUUCAUAAAAAUUUAAAGACAAAUCAAGGUGCAGUCUAUUGGUAAGAAAUAAGGUGAGUUACAAUAAACUUUUUUUUCGGAGAUGAAGUAUGGAAUAUCACACGAAGAUGGACUUAAAAGUAUUUUAUAAAUUAACAAACAUGUUAUAAGAAUAUAUAUUGUUUAGUGCA
rnacentral:rRNA from 1 species